UGAUAAUUGUACGGCUCUUCCCCUGCUCUCGCUCUCUCUCGCUGUCUCUCUCUCUCCCUCCCUCCCUCUUUCACCUGCCUCUCUCUCUCCCCCUCUCCCCGUCUCCCCUUCUCCUCCUCUCCCUUUCUCCCUCUCUCCUGACACCAUGUAAGACAUGCCUUGCUUCGCCUUCACCUUCUGCCAUGAUUCUAAGUUUCCUGAGACCUCCCCAGCCACGCAGAACGCUCUGCGAAGGCACGCGCUGAAAAUCACACAGCUGGAAAUGGUGAAUCCAAGCUGCCCAGUACCAGAGGGCGGGCACUUAACCCUCCACACACCCCAGUCUUUCCAGUAGAAACUACCUCAACAGGCUGUGGUAGGAGUUAGACGAGAUGACACAUAUGAAUCACUUGGACACCAUGUUCAGCAAGUGUGAGACCUCAGAAUAUUCUAGAAACUUGGAGCCUAAAAAGAAGUGUUUCUCCAAGACAUAAUGAGUGUUUUCGGUGCACUCAAGAAAGACAAAUUAAGGUAUGAAACCACGAAAUAAAUAAAACAUGCGCUACUUCUACGUUUUAUUGGAAGAGGGGUGGAAGGAGAGGUUACAAAGGAGGAGAGAACCCUGGCCCAUAAAGAAUCUAAGGUCCCCCUGCAUUGUAGCCGGGAGAAGUCCAGUGUCAGGACUCAGUCAGUCCCCAUCAUGACCGUGGGUUCAGGGGCGAGGGAUGCAGGGUAGCAGUAGGGGACUUCGUUGUCUUGAGUUUGGGUUUCCUUGGGAGUUCAGGAGCUUCCAGAGGUGAGAUUGUGUUACAAGGAGGUCAUUCACACUUGCCUCCCUAGGCUGAAGCUACCAUCUGUCUAUGCAGCACUCAGAGAUGACCAACACUUUACUACAUUGUUAUCUGGACAUCCCAACAACCUUCUGCAGUAGAUAAUAUUAUUUUCAUUUUACCCAUAAGGACUGAGGUUUAGUGGAGUGAGUUGCACAGGACAACACAGUGGCAAAAUCAAGACUUGCACCCAGGACUCCUGACUCCAAAUUCUUACACUAUUCCACAGCGCUUCUUGCUCUAGGGUCCUCUUUUCAGGUGUGGAAUAGUUUGAACAAAGACCCGCUUCAACCGUGAACCUGGAGUCAUCCUCUUGAAGUUUGACCCUCUUUGAUCCCGCCGGGGGUUGGUUUCCAAGAGGUGCCCUGGCCAGGUCUCUGUGAAGAACGCCGCCACUGCGACUGCUGCUCAUUAUCACACGGGAGAGCUCCCUGCUCCCUGAGGGAGAUGAGAAGAAAACCCCUGGUUCUGGCAGACCCGCCACAGCCCUGGGCAGCAGGCUGUCUACAAGGCGGGGGUGCUGUGGUGCCCUCAGCAAGCCAGCUCUCACUUGUUGAGUUUCUGUCGGUAUGCAUCCUCUGUGGGAUCGAACC
rnacentral:lncRNA from 1 species